rnacentral:rRNA from 1 species
AAAUUGAAGAGUUUGAUCAUGGCUCAGAUUGAACGCUGGCGGCAGGCCUAACACAUGCAAGUCGAGCGGUAGCACAGAGAGCUUGCUCUCGGGUGACGAGCGGCGGACGGGUGAGUAAUGUCUGGGAAACUGCCUGAUGGAGGGGGAUAACUACUGGAAACGGUAGCUAAUACCGCAUAAUGUCGCAAGACCAAAGUGGGGGACCUUCGGGCCUCAUGCCAUCAGAUGUGCCCAGAUGGGAUUAGCUAGUAGGUGGGGUAACGGCUCACCUAGGCGACGAUCCCUAGCUGGUCUGAGAGGAUGACCAGCCACACUGGAACUGAGACACGGUCCAGACUCCUACGGGAGGCAGCAGUGGGGAAUAUUGCACAAUGGGCGCAAGCCUGAUGCAGCCAUGCCGCGUGUGUGAAGAAGGCCUUCGGGUUGUAAAGCACUUUCAGCGGGGAGGAAGGCGUAAGGUUAAUAACCUUGCGAUUGACGUUACCCGCAGAAGAAGCACCGGCUAACUCCGUGCCAGCAGCCGCGGUAAUACGGAGGGUGCAAGCGUUAAUCGGAAUUACUGGGCGUAAAGCGCACGCAGGCGGUCUGUCAAGUCGGAUGUGAAAUCCCCGGGCUCAACCUGGGAACUGCAUUCGAAACUGGCAGGCUAGAGUCUUGUAGAGGGGGGUAGAAUUCCAGGUGUAGCGGUGAAAUGCGUAGAGAUCUGGAGGAAUACCGGUGGCGAAGGCGGCCCCCUGGACAAAGACUGACGCUCAGGUGCGAAAGCGUGGGGAGCAAACAGGAUUAGAUACCCUGGUAGUCCACGCCGUAAACGAUGUCGAUUUGGAGGUUGUGCCCUUGAGGCGUGGCUUCCGGAGCUAACGCGUUAAAUCGACCGCCUGGGGAGUACGGCCGCAAGGUUAAAACUCAAAUGAAUUGACGGGGGCCCGCACAAGCGGUGGAGCAUGUGGUUUAAUUCGAUGCAACGCGAAGAACCUUACCUGGUCUUGACAUCCACAGAACUUUCCAGAGAUGGAUUGGUGCCUUCGGGAACUGUGAGACAGGUGCUGCAUGGCUGUCGUCAGCUCGUGUUGUGAAAUGUUGGGUUAAGUCCCGCAACGAGCGCAACCCUUAUCCUUUGUUGCCAGCGGUCCGGCCGGGAACUCAAAGGAGACUGCCAGUGAUAAACUGGAGGAAGGUGGGGAUGACGUCAAGUCAUCAUGGCCCUUACGACCAGGGCUACACACGUGCUACAAUGGCAUAUACAAAGAGAAGCGACCUCGCGAGAGCAAGCGGACCUCAUAAAGUAUGUCGUAGUCCGGAUUGGAGUCUGCAACUCGACUCCAUGAAGUCGGAAUCGCUAGUAAUCGUAGAUCAGAAUGCUACGGUGAAUACGUUCCCGGGCCUUGUACACACCGCCCGUCACACCAUGGGAGUGGGUUGCAAAAGAAGUAGGUAGCUUAACCUUCGGGAGGGCGCUUACCACUUUGUGAUUCAUGACUGGGGUGAAGUCGUAACAAGGUAACCGUAGGGGAACCUGCGGUUGGAUCACCUCCUUA